CUCAUCCUCAUAUAUAUGUUUGUUUGUUCACAUUUUUCACUAAAAAAAUCAAAAAUUAAACAAAUGAGAAGCAUUAGAGAUGGAACGAAGCAGAGAAGAAAACACGAUAGAGGGAGAAGGAGAAGAGGGUGCCGACAAACCCGCAUCCACUGCAGAACUGCAUCACAACUGCUCCUUCGCAGCCGGGCAGCAGGUGCUGUGAAUGUGAUCAUUAUGACGCUGUUGUACGUAGGGGAUUUGGACCCUGAGAUCAACGAGAGUGGUUUCGAUUUAAUCAGGAAUGAGCAAAAACAAACAACAAGGGGAAGAAUGACCUUUUGUGGUACUGGUAUGAACGUCUUCUGUGGGAUUGAAGCCUGAGAUCAGGAUCUCUCUUAUUUUCCUCUGAGUUCUUAAAAUCGAAGUAUAAGCGGAGGAGGGAGUGUUUUAGCACCAAAAGCAUCUCCUGAGGCUUAACAAGGAUUGUUAUGAUGUUCUUAUAGAAGAAUAAGAAUGUUGCUGCUUUGACACCUAAAGCUAAGGUUAGAAAGUUGUCAGUUUUGAAAAGGACUGAAAAAUCCUUGAGGAAAGAGAAUUUAUAAUGUUAGGUAGUCGCACCAAAGACAAAGGUUAUGGCCAGGAAUCAUUGACCAAGAAUCAUUCACUUUCAUCUUCAUUUAAUAGAAAGUCAGGUUCAUUUUUUCCAGGGCAGAAACAUUGGUAGCCUUGAGUGGCAAGGGAGUAAUAAGGACCGCUAGAUAUCUGACGUCUUCAACGGAUAUCACAGAUGAGCACAUUGGAAUUUGCUCUUUUUUUGUGUGAAACAAAAUCUCCAUUAUCUUAGAGAGCAGAAAAAUCCUUCAUCAUUAGCUUUGUAUCCAGCAACUAAGAACUGCAUAUCAACAUAUGAGAAUAUCACUCAUGGCAUUCAUUAUGCUCCAACUUGGUUUAUUCUGAUGCACCGGUUGGAAAUGAACCAUUGGCUUUGGACAUGGGAAGCAUGGGGAAGGGUCAGGUACGGAUUAAUGGAGAGAGCAUAUGAAGAUACUGAUUGUAGAAUUGAAAGAGGGGUUGUUCUUCAUAAGUUCAAAGUUGCUCAUGUAUUUUUUAUCACAAAUUAGAAUUUCUUUAAAUCACAAAUUAGGAUUAAUAAAAGUAUGUGCUAUGUUUUUUUUUUUUUUGUAUUAUUUGAACUUUUCAGCAUAUUGCAAAUCUUGCUGCAACAAAACUUUGGUUAUUACCUAUAGCUGCGUUUAACUGAUUAUAUUUUGUUAUAGGUUGUUGAUGAGCGUGACUAGUAGAAAAACACAUGUAGCAAGAUGUGUCAAUAAGCAUUUUCAUUAAGCUAAGCAGGACUCAUCUUCCUGAGUGGAAAGCUGCAUGGAAUGCAAAGAUAAUAAUAAUAUCUUGAUCCCAUCGUUAUUAGAAGCACCAGAAAUUAAAUUUAGGACUAACAAAUAGAUUAUGGAUUUUGUGCACUUUUCACUUUAAGCGGAUUACUAAGUUACUUAAACAUCAGAUUAGAAAUUUGGUCCCUCAAAAAUAUACUUGACAUGAGUUUAAAAAGAUUUAUGGUAUUUUCACUCUUAAUUGACAACUUUGAAUUCUUUAGAUUAAUAGUUUGUAUUUUCUUCUUGCUUCUUAUAUUGAGUAUUAGACUCAACCUACAAACUGUGAUGUUGUUUGUGCUGCUCUAGAUUUAAAUUUUCAUGGCCUCCCAACUCUGUUUAUAUAUUUUUUGAAAGUUUAUAUAAUUUUGCUUUGGCUUGCUCUCGAAUAUUGAAAAGUUAUAUUUUUAUUUAAGAUAUGAUAUACAGAAUGUUAUCUCAACUUUCUUAUAAUUUAUUUUUGUUGUAGGUACGAAGAACAGUUGCCAUAGUGCGGGUUGAGCAAGGAAUCAUAAAAGUUGGUGAUGAAAUUGAGGUUUUGAGUAUAAUGCAGGUAUGUCCAUUGAGAUUUUUCCUGGGUUUUGGCUUUUUUUUUUAAUCAAAAUGCCAAUUGAUGAUGAGGUAGGGACAUUCUUCAGGCAAGUCUAAGGUGAAGUAUAUUUAUAAUGAAAGUUGCCUCCCAGAGACAAGCCGCUGAACUUUAAUCUGAUUGAUCAUAUUCUAAUGAUAUUUUUUUAAUCAAAUUGAGUUGACAUGCAUAAGUCCAGUUACUUUGUGAUCAGUAUGGAAAUGUUGCAGCUUUGGAAUUUUCAUGUGAAAAUCCCUUUAUGACAGAUUUAAGAAAUAGAUUUACAAAAGUCAUCAUUAUGGACUAGGAUUUAAGAUUUGCUCAGGUAAGUUAAGGAAUGCUUUUUUUUUUUAAUUAUUACUAGAUGUUGCUUAGAACUCUAUUAUCCACAAAUCUUGGCAUCUUUUGGAGGCUUGCAUAAAUUUAAGUGUCAACACUAUGUCUUUGUUUAGUAGUAAUACCAAGUAAAGGUGCCUAAGUUGUAUGAAAGUGAACAAACUUUUUUUUGUUGACAUUUAGUGUAUCCUCCAGAAGAUAUUUUAGGAUUUUUUAUUACUUGCUAUAUACCUGAUACACUAGAACAAAUUCUUCUUCUGUCCUUUCAAAAACUUUCUCAGUUUAAAUCCCUAAAUGUUAUAUUAUGGACUAUAUGGUCAAUCAAAGUAGGGGAGGACCUUCAUUAGUUUUAAAACAAAACAAGGAGCAUCAUUCUAUAAGCAUGAAUGAGAUGGACGAAAUAGAAUGGAAAGAAGCCGAUAAAUAGAAUUUUGUGGGAAAAAAAUUAAAAUAUAAUACAUAAAACAGAAGUCGCUGCUGGUCCUACUUCUAACACCACUAUAAAAGUUUGUACUACAUAUAUGUAUGUCAUGCUGUAUAUCAUAUAUGUUCUUAUUGUUUUCCUUUAAAUUACACUUAGUAAAGAUGAAAGUAAAAAAUUUGUAAACAAAAACUGAAACUUAAUCUGAACAUAGAGAAUAAUGCUUAUUGAAAUUAAUUAGAAAAAAAUGUGACACUUAGUUUACUAUUUUUUCUCAAUUAAUUUUUUUUCGAGAUAUUUGUAAAAGCUACUUCGAUCCUGUCUUUACUUUCAUUCCUUGAAUAUCUUGGUGAAUAAAUGCAUUAAUUUUGCAGUUGCUUUUUUUUUUUAAUUUGCCAACUGAAGUAUAUAACCACUGGCUAGAGGAGUGGUUGAGGGUAUUCAUGUGAUACUGUUGCUUUGUUAUUAUUUUGUUUAUUCGUGUCCAUCUAUAUCUUAGGAUAAUCAACUCCUCUUUUCUCUUCUACAGUCUUUUUGUGGCAGCUAAUAAGGUUUACCAUGCUUCAACUUCUGAAAGAUUAGAGAUCCACUCUCAUGUUAAAGAUAUUAUUGAUGUUGAUAUUCUGAGCUGGACAAUUAUUAAAGUGAAAAAAGCAAAAGGAAAUUCACAAGAGGUGUUUCAAAGUAAUCAACCAAAAAUUUAUCAGUAAUAAAUUAUCAAUCUUUUAGAAUGAGUACAUUGUAAGUUGACUCUCAAUUUUUUUUUAAUUAAAGAUUAGUGUUUAAGAAUUUUGUGGGUCGAGAGGAGGAAAUCAAAAUUUAUUCAGGAUCAAAUUAGUUUUGAUAAUUCUGUAGUAGUAUUAAACUAAACUUUAGUCCUAAUUAAGUUAGAUCAAAUUUGUUUAU